ACACAUUACCCAAUCUCUCCAUGCCUCAGGCUGCGCAUCUGCUAAAUGGGUACAACGCCAGUGUGUACGUUGCUUGGGGGAUUAAUGGGCUGAGACAGAGGGUCUUGUGCCUGGCCCCCAACGAGCACUGAAUACAUUCUGACUGGUGUUAUUGACGCUGAUUUCCCUUUCAGAGGUUCGAGCCCCGACAGAGAGAAAGGGGAGGUCACACAAACACAAUGACGGUUAUGAGUUACUGUGCACCUACUAUGUGCCAGGCUCUGUGUUUUUA